rnacentral:rRNA from 1 species
AUUGAACGCUGGCGGCAGGCUUAACACAUGCAAGUCGAGCGAGCGGCGGACUGGUGAGUAAUUUCUGGGAAACUGCCUGAUGUAGCGGUAUAACUACUGUAAACCGUAGCUACUACCGCAUACCAUCAGAUGUGCCCAGAUGGGAUUAGCUAGUAGGUGGGGUAAUGGCUCACCUAGGCGACGAUCCCUAGCUGGUCUGAGAGGAUGACCAGCAACACUGGGACUGAGACACGGUCCAGACGCCGAAGGGAGGCAGCAGUGGGGAAUAUUGGACAAUGGGCGAAAGCCUGAUGCAGAAAAGCCGCGUGAGUGAAGAAGGCCUUCGGGUUGUAAAGCACUUUCAGCGAGGAAGCGUUACUCGCAGAAGAAGCAACGGCUAACUCCGUGCCAGCAGCCGCGGUAAUUC